GUUUACCAAAAACAUAGCCCUAAGAAAAAUUUAAGGUGUAACCUGCCCAAUGAUUAAAAAAAAUUUACUAACAAUAAAAAAUUAAAUUCAAUGGCUGCAGUAACCAUGACUGUACGAACGUAGCAUAAUAAUUCGCCACUUAAUUAGUGGAUAGUAUGAAUGGUUGAACGAAAAUUCCACUGUCUUAUGUGAUAAUAAAAAAAUUUAAAUCAUAGUUAAGAUGCUAUGUAAAGUUGUAAGACGAAAAGACCCUAUAAAGCUUAACUAUAAUUUUUUAUAAAAAUUUUUGAAAAUAAAAAAAAAAUAAAAAAUUGGUAGUUUCAUUGGGGCGAUGGUCUCUAAAAAAAAACAGAGAUAAUUCUAUAAAUAAAAUAUUUUACUGUUUAAUUUAUUAAUUUAACAGUUACAAAGUAGGAUAUAAUGACCCAUUAUCUUUUCUAAAAAAAAAUAAUGAUCUAUAAAUAAAAGCUACUUUAGGGAUAACAGGAUAAUAUUUUCUUAGAGCUCUUAUCGAAGAAAAAGUUUAUCACCUCGAUGUUGAAUUAAGAUAACCUAAUGAUGCAGUCAUUAUUGAAGGUAGGUCUGUUCGACCUUUAAAAUCUUACAUGAUUUGA
rnacentral:rRNA from 1 species